rnacentral:rRNA from 1 species
CCUACGGGUGGCAGCAGUGAGGAAUAUUGGUCAAUGGACGAGAGUCUGAACCAGCCAAGUAGCGUGAAGGAUGACUGCCCUAUGGGUUGUAAACUUCUUUUAUCUGGGAACAAAAUGCUCCACGCGUGGGAUUCUGUAUGUACCAUAUGAAUAAGGAUCGGCUAACUCCGUGCCAGCAGCCGCGGUAAUACGGAGGAUCCGAGCGUUAUCCGGAUUUAUUGGGUUUAAAGGGAGCGUAGGGGGAUUGUUAAGUCAGUUGUUAAAGUUGGGGGCUCAACCGUAAAAGUGCAGUUGAACCUGGUUUUCUUGAGUGAGGUAGAGGUAGGCGGAAUGCGUGGUGUAGCGGUGAAAUGCUUAGAUAUCACGAAGAACUCCGAUUGCGAAGGCAGCACACUGG